AUACGGAUGGUGCGAGCGUUGUUCGGAAUUACUGGGCGUAAGGGGCGCGUAGGCGGCGAUGUAAGUCAAAUGUGAAAGUCCUCGGCUUAACCGGGGAAGUGCAUCUGAAACUGCAUUGCUUGAGUAUGGGAGAGGAAAGUGGAAUUCCCGGUGUAGAGGUGAAAUUCGUAGAGAUCGGGAGGAAUACCGGUGGCGAAGGCGACUUUCUGGACCAAUACUGACGCUGAGGCGCGAAAGCGUGGGGAGCAAACAGGAUUAGAUACCCUAGUAGUCC
rnacentral:rRNA from 1 species